rnacentral:lncRNA from 1 species
UAAAUUUUUAUUCAAAAGACUUUUAAUGAUGAUCUCUUCAAAUUCUUGAUGGUCGUCAUCAAUGAGAAAUUUUGUUUACACAAGUAAAUAUUAAUAUAAAUUUAUAAAAUUUUAAAAAAGAAAAAAUAAAAUGAUCUCUAUUUGCAUAUAACAUGAUAUUACAUAGCAAAAACCUUGAAGAAUUAACAAAAAAACCAUUAGAGCUAAUAAACAAGUUCAUCAAGUUUGCAGGAUACAAGUAAGAUCAACUUAAAAAGAUCCAUUGUAUUUCUAUGUACCAGUAAUGAAAAGUCUUAAAAUGGAAUUAAGAAUACAAUUCUACUAAACUAGGUUUCUGAAGGCCAACUGACUGAACUUAAUUCUAGAUAAAAAAUUUACUACUCUUGUGACCUUGCUCAGAGCCUCUGAAUGUCAAUUUUAUUAAUUGCAACUUACCUUUUAUUUAAUAACUCAAAAAUACUAUGCCUUUGUACCAGGCAUUAUUCCAACUUCUAAAGUUAGCACUAAAAUAACUCUGUCCCUCACAGAGUUUAUCUUCUUAAAAAAUAAAAGAAAAAAAGAAAACAAUUCCAUUUACGAUAGCAUCAAAAAAAUAAACUACUUAGGAAUAAAUCUAAUCCAAAUAAAUACAAGAUUUGUACACUGAGAACUAUAAAACAUUACUGAAAGAAACUAAAAAAGACAUAAAUAUGUAGAAAGACACCUUGUACUCAUGUAUUGGAAGACUUAAUAUUGUUAAGAUGGCAAUAUUCCUCAAAUUGAUUUGUAGAGAAGAAGCAAUUCCUGCCAAACUCCAACUAUUUGAGCUCCCACUGUGGUGCAAUGGGAUCAGAAGCAUCUUAAGAGUAUUGACAUGGGGCUUCAAUCCCCGGCCAGGCACAGUGUGUUAAGGAUCAGUCAUUGCCACAGCUGCAGCUUAGGUCACAACUGCAGUUUGGAUCUGAUCCCCGACCCAGGAACUCCAUAUGCCAUGGGGCGGGCAAAAAUGGAAAAAAAAACAAAACAAAAAAUCAACUACCUUCUUGUAGAAAUGAGCAAAUUUAUCCUAAAAUUCAUUUAGAAAUGCAAGGAACUCAGUGAAAACAAUUUUGAAAAAGAACUAAUUUGAAGAACUCAAUAGUUCUUGACUUCAAAAAGCUACAGUAAAAAAAGGGUAUGGUAUUGGCAUUAAGGUAGACACAUAGAUCAAGGGAAUAGAAUUGAAAGUCCAGAAAUACACCCCCACAUCUAUAGAGCCAAUUGAUUUUUGACGGGGGAAAAAAACUGUUCAAUAGGGGGAAAAGAGUCUCAACCAACAGUACUAGACCAACUGUAUAACCACACCUAGCUCAUAGCAUAAUCAAAAACUAAUUCAAAAUGGAUCACAGAUGUAAAUGUAAGAAUAAAACUAUAAACCUCAUGACUCUCCAAAAAGGGGCACAACAACUCAAAUGAUGAGAGAAAACAUUUACAAGUCAAAAUAUCUGAGGAGCGUCUAUUAUUCAAAAUACAUAAAGAUCCCAUUGGUUUAUUUUUGCUUUUAUUUCUGUUGCUUUGGGAGGCUGACCUGAGGAAACAUAUGUAAGGUUGAUGUCAGAGAACAUUUUGUCUAUGUUCUCUUCCAUGAGUCUGAUGGUGUUUUGUCUUAUAUUUAGGUCUUUAAGCCAUUUUGAGUUUAUUUUCAUGCAUGGUGUGAGUGUAUGUUCUAGCUUCAUUGAUUUGCAUGCAGCUGUACAGGUUUCCCAGCAAUUCUUGCUGAAAAGACUGUCUUUUUCCCAUUUUAUGUUCUUACCUCCUUUGUCAAAGACUAAUUGACCAUAGGUGUCUGGGUUUAUUUCUGGGUUCUCUAUUCUGUUCCAUUGGCCUGUAUGUGUUUUGGUACCAGUACCAUGCUGUCUUGAUGACUGUGGCUUUGUAGUAUUUCUUGAAGUCUGGGAGAGUUAUGCCUCCUGCUUGGUUUUUGUUCCUCAGAAUUGCUUUGGCAAUUCUGGGUCUUUUAUGGUUCCAUGUAAAUUUUUAGAUUGUUCUAGUUCUGUGAAAAAUGUCAUGGGUAAAUUGAUAGGGAUUGCACUGAAUCUGUAGAUUGCUUUGGGUAGUAUGGCCAUUUUUACAAUAUUAAUUUUUCCAACCCUGGAGCAUGGAAUAGCUUUCCAUUUCUUUACAUCUUCCUUAAUUUCCUUGAUUAAUGUUUUAUAGUUCUCAGCAUAUAAGUCUUUUACCUCCUUGGUCAGGUGUAUUCCCAGGUAUUUGAUUUUUUGAGGUACAAUUUUAAAAGGUAUUGUACUUUUUUAUUCCUUUUCUAAUAUUUCAUUGUUAGUAUAUAGAAAUGUGACUGAUUUCUGAAUGUUAAUCUUAUAUCCUGCUACUUUGCUGAAUGUGUAGAUCAGUUCAAGUAGUUUUUGGGUUAAGUCCUUAGGGUUUUCUAUAUAUAGUUUCAUGUCAUCUGCAUACAGUGACAGUUUUUUUACCUCUUCUCUUCCUAUUUGGAUGCCUUUUAUUUCUUUUGUUUGUCUUAUUGCUGUGGCUAGGACUUCUAGUACUACGUUGAAUAACAGUGGUGAGAGUGGGCAGGCUUUAGAUUUUAGUGGGAAGGCUUUCGGCUUUUCUCCAUUGAGUAUUAUAUUUGCUGUGGCUUUGUCAUAAGUGGCUUUGAUUAUGUUAAGGUAUUUUCCCUCUAUACCCACUUUGGUAAGAGUUUUGAUCAUGAAUGGAUGUUGGACUUUGUCAAAUGCUCUUUCUGCAUCUAUUGAGAUGAUCAUGUGGUUUUUGACUUUUCUUUUGCUAAUGCGGUGUAUGAUGUUGAUUGAUUUGCGUAUGUUGAACCAUCCUCGUGAACUUGGGAUGAAUCCCACUUGGUCGUGGUGUAUGAUCUUUUUUAUAUGUUGUUGGAUUUGUUUGGCUAUGACUUUGCUGAGAAUUUUUGUGUUUAUAUUCAUCAAAGAUAUUGGCCUAUAGUUUUCUUUCUUAGUGGUAUCUUAGGUUUUGGAAUUAGGGUGAUGGUGGCAUAUAGAAUGUCUUUGGGAGUGUUCCUUCUUCUUCAACCUUUUGAAAAAGUUUAAGGAAGAUGGGUAUAAGUUUCUCUUUGUGUGUUUGGUAGAAUUUGCCUGUGAAGCCAUCUGAUCCUGGACUUUUAUUUGUAGGGAGUGUUUUUAUGACAUAUUCAAUUUCAUUUCUAGUGAUUGGUCUGUUCAGUUGAUCUAUUUCUUCUUGAUUCAGUUUUGGCAGGCUGUAAGUCUCUAGAAAGUUGUUCAUUUAUUCUAGGUUGUCCAAUUCAUUAUCAUACAAUUGUUCAUAGUAUUCUUUCAUGUUUUUUUGUAUUUCUGCAGUAUCUGUUGUGACUUCUCCUUUUUCAUUUCUUAUUUUGUUUAUUUGGGUUUUUUCUCUCCUCUUCUUGGUGAGUUUAGCCAGAGGUCUGUCAAUUUUGUUUACCUUUUCAAAGAACCAGCUCUUGGUUUUAUUGUUUGUUUGUCUUUUUGUCUUUUGAGGGCCACACCCAUGGCAUAUGGAGGUUUCCAGGCUAAGGGUCUAAUUGGAGCUGUAGCCUCCAGCCUAUGACACAGCCACAGCAACGCCAGAGCCAAGCUGCGUCUAUGACCUACACCACAGCUCACGGCAACGCUGCAUCCUUAACCCACUGAGAGAGGCUAGGGAUCGAACCUGCAACCUCAUGGUUCCUAGUUGGAUUCAUUUUCUGCUGUGCCACGAUGGGAACUCCUGAUUUUUUUUCCAUUUUUUUAAAUCUCUAUUUUAUUAAGGGAGUGGAAUGGAUUGAGAGCUUGGGGUUAAUAGAUGCAGACUAUUGCCUUUGGAAUGGAUUAGCAAUGAGAUUCUGCUGUGUAGCACUAGGAAGGAACUAUGUUCAGUCAUUUAUGAUGGAGCAUGAUAAUGUGAGAAAAAAGAAUGUAUACAUGUAUGUGUAACUGGGUCACCAUGCUGUACAGUAGGAAAAAAAUAAUGUAUUGGCAAAAUAAAAAAAUAAAAUAAAAUAAAAAAACAGGAAGAAACAAAGAAAUAAACAAAAUGUAUAAAGAACUCUUACAACUCGACAAUGAGACAAAUACACAAUUUAAAAUGGCAAAGAAGCUGAAUAGAUGUUUCUUCAAAAAAGAUGCUUCUUCAAAUAGACAAUAAGCACUUAAAAAAAGUUUAGUAUCAUUAGUCACUAGGGAAAUAUAAAUUAAAACUACAAUGAAAUACCACUUUAUACCCACUAGGAAAACUAUAAUUUUUUUUUAAAAGGAAAUAAAGUAUUGCCAAGAAUAUGGAGAAAUUACAAUCCUAAUGGUGCAGUCAGUCUGGAAAACAGUCUGACAGUUCCUCAAUAGAGUUACCACAUAAUCCAGCAAUUCCAUUCCAAGGUAUAUACCCAAGAAAACUGAAAACAGAUUUUCAAACAAAAUUUGUACAUGACUAUUCACUACAGCACUAUUCACAAUAGCCAAAAAAAAGGAAACAAUUCAAAUGGGGGCUAAGGGUCAGGGAAUGGGGAGUGACUGCUAAUAGCUAUGGUUUUUCUUUAUUAUUGCAUGAAAAUGCUCUGGGAUUACACAGCGAUGAUGGUUACACAGCUCUCUGAAUAUUCUAAAGGUCACUGAAUCACACAUUUUAAAUUGGUGAUUUUUAUAGCUAUCUGAAUCAUAUCUCAAUAAAAAGGUCAGUUUAAAAAUAAUUUCCUACUCAACAUUAAUAAAAACUAAAAAAGCAAAAAGUUGUCUAUUUUAAAAAAUAGAUAUAUUUUUGUCAAAGAAAGGGAUUUUGUUCUCAUUUCUACCAGUUGAUUAGAAAGACCAAUAUUAAGAUCAUACCCAGUGACUAAACUAGCAAUGGUAAUGAGGGCCAGGGAAUUUUAAAAAUACUGUUUCCGAGAAACUCAAUUGUCUUAGUUUGAGUUUCCCCAGAAACAGAUCUUAAAACAGAGAUUUAUGUGCAAAUAGUCUAUUUGGGAGGUGAAGGAAAUACCAGCAGGGGAGCCGGAAAGUGAGUCAGGGAAGGGAAGGCAGCCAAUGAAGUGUGUGUUAUCAGGCAAAAUCACCACUGAGGGUAGCUGGAACUUGAUCCUGUUGCGGAAGCCUGUGAGCCAGUGUAGAAAUGUGUUUCAGAGUGACCCUCAUCCCCAGGGAUAAGGAGCUGGGAUAUUUACACUGCAAUUCCCCUCAUUGGUUGAGGGUUAGCUCCUCCAGCAGCAAAAGAAAGCCCUCAAGCAAAGAGAGGCAGAUGCUGGUAGCUAGAAGCUGGGCAGACUUGCCCUGAGGACCCUGACAGUUUAGGGUAUAUCCCAUCAUCAGAACUCUCCACCAGAUGGUUAUAGAUCAUGAGUUCUGAAUAAAAACUUAGAUUAGAGUUUUAGCUUCAGCCCUUGGGGCAGGCUACUCAGCUUUCUGAGACAUAUUUCCCCAUAUGCAAAAUGUGGGAAGGAGGGGGUAAAAACACAUCUCACAGGAGCGUUAAGAGGAUAAAAUAAGAUGAUACAGAUGAAUGUUCCUUACAAUUUAGUUACUAGGCCUUUUAAUUUUUAAAUUUUAUUUUAAAAUAUGUGGCACCUGCCCCCUUUCAAUUUUGUUCAUCAACCUAUGAAUAUGCAGAGUAACAGAGUAUUGUGGCAGCAACUGCUGUAUGUUUGCCAAAAUGUGUUUCGUCUUUUUCGGGGCUCACGGAUUACUUCUCCAAGGUGUCCUUGCACUUAGGGAAGACCAUGUGAUUGAAAUGUGUUGCAUUGCAAGGCUUGGUCCCAAAAACUUGCUACAAGCCCUUUUCUGUGUCUUUCCCUUCUUCCGGCUGGUGGAAAUGGAGAAAAUUGCCAAGGUGACUUUACAUGUUAAAGAUGGUAGAGUAUGGAUCUCUGGACGACCCAUCUACUCUCCCUUCCCAUUUUUUUUUUUUUUUUUUUUUUUUGUCUUUUUGCCUUUUCUAGGGCUGCUCCAGUAGCAUGUGGAGGUUUCCCAGGCUAGGGAUCUAAUCGGAGCUGUAGCCGCCGGCCUACACCACAGCCACAGCAACGCAGAAUCUGAGCCGUGUCUGCAACCUACACCACAGCUCACGGCAACAGUGGACCCUUAACCCGCUGAGCAAGGCCAGGGAUUGAACCCGCAACCUCAUGGUUUCUAGUGGGAUUCGUUAACCACUGCGCCUUGACGGGAACUCCCCUUCCUAUAUUGUUACAUGAGCAAGAAUUCCAGUAUUGGAGUUCCCUUCGUGGCUCAGCGGAAAUGAAUCAGAUAGCAUCCAUGAGGUCACAGGUUUGAUCCCUGGCCUUGCUCAGUGCAUUAAGGAUCCGGCGUUGCUGAGUAGGUGGUAGAUGAGGCUCGGAUCUGGCGUUACUAUGGCUGUGGUGUAGCUACAGCUCUGAUUCAGCCCUUACCCUGGGGCUGAAUCAUAUUCAUACCCUCCAUAUUCCAUGUUUGCGGCCCUAAAAAAAGACCAAAAAAAAAAAAAA